rnacentral:rRNA from 1 species
UUAAGUUAAUAAGGGCGCACGGUGGAUGCCUUGGCACUAGGAGCCGAUGAAGGACGGGACUAACACCGAUAUGCUUUGGGGAGCUGUAAGUAAGCUAUGAUCCAGAGAUUUCCGAAUGGGGGAACCCAAUAUCUUUUAUAGGAUAUUACUUUUCAGUGAAUACAUAGCUGAUUAGAGGUAGACGCAGAGAACUGAAACAUCUUAGUACCUGCAGGAAGAGAAAGAAAAUUCGAUUCCCUGAGUAGCGGCGAGCGAAACGGGAAGAGCCCAAACCAACAAGCUUGCUUGUUGGGGUUGUAGGACUCCAAUAUGGUAGUCUGUUAGUAUAGUUGAAGGAUUUGGAAAAUUCCGCUAAAGAGGGUGAAAGCCCCGUAGACGAAAUGCUAACAACACCUAGGAGGAUCCUGAGUACGGCGGAACACGAGAAAUUCCGUCGGAAUCCGCGGGGACCAUCCCGCAAGGCUAAAUACUCCCUAGUGACCGAUAGUGAACCAGUACCGUGAGGGAAAGGUGAAAAGCACCCCGGGAGGGGAGUGAAAUAGAACCUGAAACCGUGUGCCUACAACAAGUUCGAGCCCGUUAAUGGGUGAGAGCGUGCCUUUUGUAGAAUGAACCGGCGAGUUACGAUAUGAUGCGAGGUUAAGUUGAAGAGACGGAGCCGUAGGGAAACCGAGUCUUAAUAGGGCGCAUUAGUAUCAUGUCGUAGACCCGAAACCAUGUGACCUACCCAUGAGCAGGUUGAAGGUGCGGUAAGACGCACUGGAGGACCGAACCAGGGCACGUUGAAAAGUGCUUGGAUGACUUGUGGGUAGCGGAGAAAUUCCAAACGAACUUGGAGAUAGCUGGUUCUCUCCGAAAUAGCUUUAGGGCUAGCGUCGAUGUUAAGUCUCUUGGAGGUAGAGCACUGUUUGGGUGAGGGGUCCAUCCCGGAUUACCAAUCUCAGAUAAACUCCGAAUGCCAAUGAAUUAUGGUCGGCAGUCAGACUGCGAGUGCUAAGAUCCGUAGUCGAAAGGGAAACAGCCCAGACCACCAGCUAAGGUCCCAAAAUAUAUGUUAAGUGGAAAAGGAUGUGGGGUUGCACAGACAACUAGGAUGUUAGCUUAGAAGCAGCUAUUCAUUCAAAGAGUGCGUAAUAGCUCACUAGUCGAGUGACCCUGCGCCGAAAAUGUACCGGGGCUAAAACAUAUUACCGAAGCUGUGGAUACCUUUAUAGGUAUGGUAGGAGAGCGUUCUAUGUGCGAAGAAGGUGUACCGUGAGGAGUGCUGGAGCGCAUAGAAGUGAGAAUGCCGGUAUGAGUAGCGAAAGACAGGUGAGAAUCCUGUCCACCGUAAGACUAAGGUUUCCAGGGGAAGGCUCGUCCGCCCUGGGUUAGUCGGGACCUAAGGAGAGACCGAAAGGUGUAUCCGAUGGACAACAGGUUGAUAUUCCUGUACUAGAGUAUGUAGUGAUGGAGGGACGCAGUAGGCUAACUAAAGCAGACGAUUGGAAGAGUCUGUCUAAGCAGUGAGGUGUGAAUUGAGUCAAAUGCUUAGUUCUAUAACAUUGAGCUGUGAUGGGGAGCGAAGUUUAGUAGCGAAGUUAGUGACGUCACACUGCCAAGAAAAGCUUCUAGCGUUUAAACAUACUCUACCCGUACCGCAAACCGACACAGGUAGUCGAGGCGAGUAGCCUCAGGUGAGCGAGAGAACUCUCGUUAAGGAACUCGGCAAAAUGACCCCGUAACUUCGGGAGAAGGGGUGCUGACUUUACGUCAGCCGCAGUGAAUAGGCCCAAGCAACUGUUUAUCAAAAACACAGCUCUCUGCUAAAUCGUAAGAUGAUGUAUAGGGGGUGACGCCUGCCCGGUGCUGGAAGGUUAAGAGGAGUGCUUAGCGUAAGCGAAGGUAUGAAUUGAAGCCCCAGUAAACGGCGGCCGUAACUAUAACGGUCCUAAGGUAGCGAAAUUCCUUGUCGGGUAAGUUCCGACCCGCACGAAAGGUGUAACGACUUGCGCACUGUCUCAACGAGGGACCCGGUGAAAUUGAAGUACCUGUGAAGAUGCAGGUUACCCGCGACUGGACAGAAAGACCCCAUGGAGCUUUACUGCAACCUAAGAUUGAACUUAGUUAAUGAAUGUACAGGAUAGGUGGGAGACGUAGAACCUAGGACGCCAGUUUUAGGGGAGUCGCUGUUGGGAUACCACCCUUUCAUUAAUUGAUUUCUAACGGGCCGAGUAACGACCGGCCGGACAGUCUUAGGCGGGCAGUUUGACUGGGGCGGUCGCCUCCAAAAGAGUAACGGAGGCGCCCAAAGGUUCCCUCAGAGCGGACGGAAAUCGCUCGAAGAGUGUAAAGGCAGAAGGGAGCUUGACUGCGAGACGGACAGGUCGAGCAGGGACGAAAGUCGGGCUUAGUGAUCCGGUGGUGCCGAGUGGAAGGGCCAUCGCUCAACGGAUAAAAGCUACCCUGGGGAUAACAGGCUAAUCUCUCCCAAGAGUCCAUAUCGACGGGGAGGUUUGGCACCUCGAUGUCGGCUCAUCACAUCCUGGGGCUGAAGUAGGUCCCAAGG